AUUGAACGCUGGCGGCAGGCUUAACACAUGCAAGUCGAGCGGAGAUGAGGUGCUUGCACCUUAUCUUAGCGGCGGACGGGUGAGUAAUGCUUAGGAAUCUGCCUAUUAGUGGGGGACAACAUUCCGAAAGGAAUGCUAAUACCGCAUACGUCCUACGGGAGAAAGCAGGGGAUCUUCGGACCUUGCGCUAAUAGAUGAGCCUAAGUCGGAUUAGCUAGUUGGUGGGGUAAAGGCCUACCAAGGCGACGAUCUGUAGCGGGUCUGAGAGGAUGGUCCGCCACACUGGGACUGAGACGCGGCCCAGACUCCUACGGGAGGCAGCAGUGGGGAAUAUUGGACAAUGGGGGGAACCCUGAUCCAGCCAUGCCGCGUGUGUGAAGAAGGCCUUAUGGUUGUAAAGCACUUUAAGCGAGGAGGAGGCUACUGAGACUAAUACUCUUGGAUAGUGGACGUUACUCGCAGAAUAAGCACCGGCUAACUCUGUGCCAGCAGCCGCAGUAA
rnacentral:rRNA from 1 species